rnacentral:rRNA from 1 species
CCUUUGUACACACCGCCCGUCGCUACUACCGAUUGAAUGGCUUAGUGAGGCUUUCGGAUUGGACUUUGGCAGCUGGCAACAGCAGCUAGGGACUAAAAAGUCAUCCAAACUUGGUCAUUUAGAGG